GAUGAAGAACGUAGUGAAAUGCGAUAAGUAAUGUGAAUUGCAGAAUUCAGUGAAUCAUCGAAUCUUUGAACGCACAUUGCGCCCGCCAGUAUUCUGGCGGGCAUGCCUGUUCGAGCGUCAUUUCAACCAUCAAGCCCCGGGCUUGUGUUGGGGACCUGCGGCUGCCGCAGGCCCUGAAAUGCAGUGGCGGGCUCGCUGUCACUCCGAGCGUAGUAGUUACAUCUCGCUCUGGGCGUGCUGCGGGUUCCGGCCGUUAAAAGCCUUAUUUACCCAAGGUUGACCUCGGAUCAGGUAGGAAGACCCGCUGAACUUAAGCAUAUCAAUAAGCGGAGGA
rnacentral:misc_RNA from 1 species